GCUGCCAGAGAGGGGCGGCCACACCCGGUCCCAUUCCGAACCCGGAAGUUAAGCGCCCCAUCGCCGAGAGUACUGCGGUGCAGUCCGUGGGAGGGCAGGACGC
rnacentral:rRNA from 1 species